rnacentral:rRNA from 1 species
GGGGAAUAUUGCGCAAUGGACGGAAGUCUGACGCAGCGACGCCGCGUGGGGGAUGACGGCCUUCGGGUUGUAAACCUCUUUCGCCAUCGACGAAGCUUCUGGUUUUUGGCUGGGGGUGACGGUAGGUGGAGAAGAAGCACCGGCCAACUACGUGCCAGCAGCCGCGGUAACACGUAGGGUGCGAGCGUUGUCCGGAAUUAUUGGGCGUAAAGAGCUCGUAGGCGGUGUGUCGCGUCGGCCGUGAAAACUUGCAGCUUAACUGUGGGCGUGCGGUCGAUACGGGCAUCACUGGAGUUCGGCAGGGGAGACUGGAAUUCCUGGUGUAGCGGUGAAAUGCGCAGAUAUCAGGAGGAACACCGGUGGCGAAGGCGGGUCUCUGGGCCGAUACUGACGCUGAGGAGCGAAAGCGUGGGGAGCGAA